ensembl:lncRNA DARS1-AS1 DARS1 antisense RNA 1
CUUUCCUUAAUCUCUGAGGUCUCACCUCUUCAAGACCCAAUUGUGUAAGCCACCUUACAUAAUGUUAUUAUGAUGUCCCCCUUCCUCAUCCAGCCAGAAGGAUUUACUUCCUUCUCUGUAUGCUCAUAGCAAUUUGUUCAUUUUCUAUUCUUCUCACCCUUGUCCUGUGUUAGAGUUACCGAAAUAUAUGUAUAUGUGUGUGUAUAUAUUUUUUGUCUUGUUUUGUUCCUGUUAGAUUUUGAACAACUUGAGGGCAGGGGCCAAUCUUGUUCAGAUUUAUACCCCCCAGAGUUAUAAAGCAUGCUGUGAAAAUGAUUGUUGACUGAAUAAGCGAGUGAGUGAAUGCAAAAGUACACUUGGAGCCAAAUGCUUAUAUUCUCUGCAGACAUGGAAUAAACUUGACAAGUGCUAAAGAUGCUCUUUGAUUUUUGUGUGGCAUGAGACCUCAGGCUGAAACUUCUCAUCUGAGCCAUUGAAGGGAGCCUCUCAUCUCUCCACCGAGAGGGGAGACCAGAAUGCUCUGUUUCUGGCAGGAAUCUGACACCACUUACUCCUUGG